rnacentral:lncRNA from 1 species
CCAGGGUGCAGUCCACAGGAAACUUCACGUGGUCCACAAGCAUGGUUCAUAGUAAGAGAAAGAUCCUGGGUACGAUCCAAUGGUUGAGAUUCAAGCCGACUUAGAUCCAACGGUUGCUGUUCAUUAUCGAUUUAUAAGAAGACUCUUUUGCAUGAUCCGACGGUCCAGAAGCAAUCCAUCACGCGAUCCAACAACUGAGCAUACUCCCAACUUUGAAUAGGAGACCAGAAGCACUGAUCGAUGGUCUAGAUCUCAUCUGAAGCA